rnacentral:rRNA from 1 species
UACGUAGGGUGCGAGCGUUGUCCGGAAUUAUUGGGCGUAAAGAGCUUGUAGGCGGUUUGUCGCGUCUGCCGUGAAAAUCCGAGGCUCAACCUCGGACUUGCGGUGGGUACGGGCAGACUAGAGUGUGGUAGGGGAGACUGGAAUUCCUGGUGUAGCGGUGAAAUGCGCAGAUAUCAGGAGGAACACCGGUGGCGAAGGCGGGUCUCUGGGCCGAUAUUGACGCUGAGGAGCGAAAGCGUGGGGAGCGAACAGG